rnacentral:lncRNA from 1 species
UGACCCGCAGGCCUCAUACAGCACAGAGGGCCCUCCAGAUUUCACUUUGUCCUGAUUUCCAGUGUCAACAAGCAGCCAAAGCAGUGCUCAGAAGUGCUGCUGGUGUGUUCCAGGUGUAGAAGCCCUCAGGAGCAGUCGUUUUUGUGAAGAUGACUGCAACCAAGAUGGAGCAGAAAUUACAUGGUUUUGCAUGGCUAAACUUGCCCUGAGCUGAGCUUUCAGAGAGUUCAAACCACUCCAGAGGACCUUGUUUCUCCACUGGUGCUCCUCAAAAGGAAGAGCUUCCCAAGUUUACCCACCUGAAAAGCAGAAAUAAGAGAUUGGCAACAUCCAGGCUGCAUAAAUAUGCCACGAAAACGCAGACUCAUGCCACCAGCCCAAAGGGCAGGACCCAGAAUCCGCUUUUCCUGUGGCUUACCCUGCCUGGAAUUGCACUGACGUGGCAUCGGCCGCAUCAGUGGAAAUUUGUGUUCCAGGUGUUAGGUGCAUCUCCUGAGCCUGGUUUGGAGGCAACAGUUUUUUUCCCUUCUGUGUCAGUGAUUGAC